UACAGAGACUGCAAGCGUUAUUCGGAUUCACUGGGCGUAAAGGGUGCGCAGGCGGCCGGGUGUGUCAGAUGUGAAAUCCCGAGGCUCAACCUCGGAACUGCGUCUGAAACUACUCGGCUAGAGUACUGGAGAGGGUAACGGAAUUCACGGUGUAGCAGUGAAAUGCUUAGAUAUCGUGAGGAACACCAGAGGCGAAGGCGGUUACCUGGACAGUUACUGACGCUCAGGCACGAAAGCAUGGGGAGCAAAAGGG
rnacentral:rRNA from 1 species